GCAAACAGCGACAACUAAAAAGACGCGUCACGCGGAGACUGAAGGGCUACUGAACGGGGUCAAAUUCUGGCCUUUUAUUUACUGCUACAUGACUUUGGUCAGCUUAACAGCUCUGUGACUCCUUUUCUUAUUGUUAAAAGUAAAAACAGAAACAAACAAAAAGGUGUUAGCACGGCAAUGCCCGCCUCGAGUUACUGGGUCUACGUGGGGGAACACACUUCAAUUCCCGAGCGGUCUCUCCCGGGAAGCCAGUACAGCAGUGUUUGCUGCUGCCGCUGUUAGGAGCCGUCUUCAGGGAGCUACGUCCAGCAACGCGAAGUGUUCACAGACGCCGAGAAAAAACAAAGAGAUAAGGGACUUGGUUCUCAAGAUCCCUCAAGAACUGGAGAAUCCUCCUCGUCCGCAUCCUUGGAGAAUCAGCUUUCAACCCUUCUGGGCAAAGCACAGGAACCCGUGGUUCUUUGAAGUGGUAGAAGAUUAUCUAUCUAUGUGGAAUACAAUCUCUGUGUAUCUAAAAGAACCUGAUUAAUCUAACUGAGCUUUUGAUGUCACUUGAAAGCAACUGUCCAUCAAGAGGUCUUCAGUCUAGGACUACAGAAAUAGCACAGAAAUAACAGCCCUGGUUGCUCUUCCAGAGGACCCUGGUUCAAUUCCCAGCACCCACAUGAUAACUCCAGUUUCAGGGCAUCUGAAACUCUCUCCUGCCCUCUUCUGGCCUCUGCAUAUACCAGGCAUGUUCCUGGUACAUAAACAUCAAUUCAGACAAAACACUCAUACACAGAAAAUAAUAAAUUUAAAAAAAUG